GACAGAGGGUGCAAACGUUGUUCGGAAUUACUGGGCGUAAAGCGCGUGUAGGCGGCUAAGCAAGUCGGGCGUGAAAUCCCACGGCUCAACCGUGGAAGUGCACUCGAAACUGCAUAGCUAGAGUCCUGGAGAGGAAGGUGGAAUGCUUGGUGUAGAGGUGAAAUUCGUAGAUAUCAAGCGGAACACCGGUGGCGAAGGCGGCCUUCUGGACAGUGACUGACGCUGAGACGCGAAAGCGUGGGGAGCAAACAGG
rnacentral:rRNA from 1 species